GGUAUUUUGACCGUGCAAAGGUAGCAUAAUCAUUAGUUUUUUAAUUGAAAGCUGGAAUGAAAGGUUGGAUGAGAAAUAAGCUGUCUCUGUUUAAUUUUAUUAGAAUUUUAUUUUUAAGUAAAAAAGCUUAAAUUUUAAUAGAAGACGAGAAGACCCUAUAGAGUUUUAUUUAUUUAUAAAAUAAGAUUAAUGGUAUUAAUUAUUUUUAUUUUAUAUAUAAAUUUAAUUGGGGUGAUUGAAAAAUUUAAUAAACUUUUUUUAUAUGUAUACAUUUAUAUAUGAUUAAUUGAUCCUUAAUUUAAGAUUAGAAGAUAAAAUUACCUUAGGGAUAACAGCGUAAUUUUUUUUGAGAGUUCAAAUUGAAAAAAAAGAUUGCGACCUCGAUGUUGGAUUAAAAUAAAAUUUUGGUGUAGAAGCUAAAA
rnacentral:rRNA from 1 species